rnacentral:rRNA from 1 species
CUGAUCCAGCAAUGCCGCGUGUGUGAAGAAGGCCUUCGGGUUGUAAAGCACUUUUGUCCGGAAAGAAAUGGCUCUGGUUAAUACCUGGGGUCGAUGACGGUACCGGAAGAAUAAGGACCGGCUAACUACGUGCCAGCAGCCGCGGUAAUACGUAGGGUCCAAGCGUUAAUCGGAAUUACUGGGCGUAAAGCGUGCGCAGGCGGUUGUGCAAGACCGAUGUGAAAUCCCCGAGCUUAACUUGGGAAUUGCAUUGGUGACUGCACGGCUAGAGUGUGUCAGAGGGGGGUAGAAUUCCACGUGUAGCAGUGAAAUGCGUAGAGAUGUGGAGGAAUACCGAUGGCGAAGGCAGCCCCCUGGGAUAACACUGACGCUCAUGCACGAAAGCGUGGGGAGCAAACAGGAUUAGAUACCCUGGUAGUCCACGCCCUAAACGAUGUCAACUAGUUGUUGGGGAUUCAUUUCCUUAGUAACGUAGCUAACGCGUGAAGUUGACCGCCUGGGGAGUACGGUCGCAAGAUUAAAACUCAA